CAAGACCCUCACAUUUUAUUGAGUACUUCCUAUAUGUUAAAAUGACACUAGGGCUCAUGGAUACCUGUUCCUGAGAAGCGCAAGGGAAACUCACGCCAAUGCUGUUAUAUUGGAAGUCCCUUUGAGAUCCUUAGCACAAAUCUGUAAUUUUGGCAGCUAAUGGAGACAGUUAUUGAGGAAGGCUGAAUGCACUCUGAGUCUGGAAUGUGGAAGUGUGGACAAUUCUGCAGAGCAGGCCUACAGUGGAGGAGCACAGGAAAAUCUUCAACACAGGAAAAAAUUGUGGACCACCUACUUAAGGAGGAAUUCCAAAGACUUGCUGUACAACAUAGUACCUAUAGUCAAUAAUAUAGUAUUGUGUGCUUUAAAAUAUGUUAAGAAAAUAGGUCUCAUGUAAAGUGUUCUUACCAAAAAACAAACAAACAAACAAACAAAAACCACAAGGAAAUUUGUGGAGGUGAGAGACAUUUAGUACCUUGAUUGUGGUGAUGGUGUCAUGAGCUCAUCCAUCUGUCGAAUUUCAUCAAACUGUGCGCAUUAAAUAUGUACAAUUUUGUGUAUCAAGUAUUUUUCAAUACAGCUAAAAAUAUGUACUUUAUUUAUAAAAAACAUACGUUUUUUUUAGUACAGAACAUUGAAUAGUUUUAACAAAGAAGGCAUCUAUGGCUGGACAAGAGGAAGUUCUCAACCCUCCCUAAGCCAUUGAUUAUCCACACACUGUGACCUCUUCUCUCCGGGGUUAUGUUCUCAUUUAUUUAAUAUGAGGGAAGGAAGGUCAUUCUCUCAAACUCGUGUAGAUUUUCACAACAGCUUAGUGAUUUAUGUUAUACAAAUAUAAUCUUUUAACCAUCAAUUAUGAUAUAUAUUUUUCUUAAUGGGCAAUCUGAACAUAAUGAUAGCAUUGUUUUGUAUUAAAGGUUAAAAUAAUAAAUGUAAAAUUCUUAGCAGAGUGCCUGAGGCAAAUAAAUACUUUUUACUAUUAAUACUAUUAUUAUUUAUUCUUAUCAUUAUUUUUAUUUCUAUUAAGCCAGCAAAUAUGGUGAAAUCUUCCAGAUGCCCUUGCUGAAGGACUCCAGAUGUCAAAGAGAAGUGGCCAUUUGUUAGACAGCUGUUCAGUUAACCUGUCUGUCUUGGUUAAAAACACCUGCACAUACUGUCCCCAGUUCAAUCUGAGCCCAUGGCAGUGACAAAGUCUGUGGGAUUUGGGUUGCCUCAUGGGUGGUGAACCAUAUUGUUGGAUAGAUCACUCUCUGAAAAGCCAGCUAUCCUUCAUGUUUGAAACGAUUAAACAUGAAAGCUCAUUACAACAAUAAUGGCUGUUUUGAUAUUUCCAACUAGCUCUAGUGAGGUGGCCACUGGAGAGUCCUCAAUGAGGUGUAAAGCAUUGGCUAUGCAGUGGGUGUGAAGCCCAACUGGCCCAUUUGUUUUCACAAAUCUUACCUUCUGGGGAUAAUGUUAAGUACACGGAUGACUUGGCACAUAGUGGCCUAAUUCAAAG
rnacentral:lncRNA from 10 species